rnacentral:rRNA from 1 species
AUACGUAGGGGGCAAGCGUUGUCCGGAAUGAUUGGGCGUAAAGGGCGCGUAGGCGGCCUGUUAAGUCAGGGGUGAAAUCCCGGGGCUCAACCUCGGAACUGCCUUUGAUACUGGGUGUCUAGAGUGUGGAAGAGGUAAGUGGAAUUCCGAGUGUAGAGGUGAAAUUCGUAGAUAUUCGGAGGAACACCAGUGGCGAAGGCGGCUUACUGGUCCAUUACUGACGCUGAGGUGCGAAAGCGUGGGGAGC